rnacentral:rRNA from 1 species
ACUCAAUAGAUACCCGGGUAGUCCACGCCGUAAACGAUGAGUGCUAAGUGUUAGAGGGUUUCCGCCCUUUAGUGCUGCAGCUAAACGCAUUAAGCACUCCGCCUGGGGAGUACGGCCGCAAGGCUGAAACUCAAAGGAAUUGACGGGGGCCCGCACAAGCGGUGGAGCAUGUGGUUUAAUUCGAAGCAACGCGAAGAACCUUACCAGGUCUUGACAUCCUCUGAUAACCCUAGAGAUAGGGCUUUCCCCUUCGGGGGACAGAGUGACAGGUGGUGCAUGGUUGUCGUCAGCUCGUGUCGUGAGAUGUUGGGUUAAGUCCCGCAACGAGCGCAACCCUUGAUCUUAGUUGCCAGCAUUCAGUUGGGCACUCUAAGGUGACUGCCGGUGACAAACCGGAGGAAGGUGGGGAUGACGUCAAAUCAUCAUGCCCCUUAUGACCUGGGCUACACACGUGCUACAAUGGAUGGUACAAAGGGCUGCAAAACCGCAAGGUCGAGCCAAUCCCAUAAAACCAUUCUCAGUUCGGAUUGCAGG